UAUACCGAAUCCAUCACUCCCACCUAGACACGUUAUGAACGAUAUUGGCCAACAGAAACAGUAGAAGAGGUUUCACACUAUAAAUGGGUCUAUACCACGGCCUAAAAACUAUUAUCCUGCAGAUAGUAAAGAGAAUAAUUUUUCAUCGGAACAUCGUUAGGUUAGAAAAUUCGUUAACUAUCGUCAUCUUAACUAUACGUUCUUACGCGUAACUAUCUCAAUAAUAUUUUUUAUUCAGUCGCUUUAUUUAAUUCUAUGUAUUAUAUAUUAUCAAUAUUUUAC